rnacentral:rRNA from 1 species
UGAGGAAUAUUGGACAAUGGGCGCAAGCCUGAUCCAGCCAUGCCGCGUGCAGGAUGACGGUCCUAUGGAUUGUAAACUGCUUUUAUACGAGAAGAAACACUCCCUCGUGAGGGAGCUUGACGGUAUCGUAAGAAUAAGGAUCGGCUAACUCCGUGCCAGCAGCCGCGGUAAUACGGAGGAUCCAAGCGUUAUCCGGAAUCAUUGGGUUUAAAGGGUCCGUAGGCGGUUUGGUAAGUCAGUGGUGAAAGCCCAUCGCUCAACGGUGGAACGGCCAUUGAUACUGCAAGACUUGAAUUAUUAGGAAGUAACUAGAAUAUGUAGUGUAGCGGUGAAAUGCUUAGAGAUUACAUGGAAUACCAAUUGCGAAGGCAGGUUACUACGAAUGGAUUGACGCUGAUGGACGAAAGCGUGGGUAGCGAACAG